GCAACCUUUGAUGGCUCUAUGAUUUCUCUGCCUCCUGCUAACACUCCUAACAGGAGAAAACAGAUGAGAGUAACACAAACGGAGAGAGAAACGAGGGCCAAUGAGGGAAAAAGGUAGCAGAUGCUGUUGUCUGUGGCCAAGAGGGAUCCUCCUGUAGCCGUCUAUAUUGCAAUGAGUCUGAAGAAGCCUCUGACUCAAGACCAUCUGUUGUCGUGUGAACGUCUCAUGAAGACGGCUAUUCCGGUGGCAGCAACAUACUGUGGGAAUACUUGGAACAAGAUUCAGAAGGUGAUCUGAGUUGAAGAGAAGAUGGAUGGAGAAAGGAAAACGUCUUGAGAUGAAAGCUAAAAGCCAGAGCUUCAAUUGAAAGGUUUAGAUCAAAGAAUGUUCAGACAUAUAUGAAGACAAUCAAGAAUCUGUGAUUAGGCUGUGUGGACACUUCUGCAAAGCGCCACACAGCUAAACAUAAAAUGAAAUAAAUUAUUGUUAAUGUGA